GAUGAACGCUGGCGGCGUGCCUAAUACAUGCAAGUCGAGCGAUCAGACGAGUUCCUUGCUCCUCUGACGUUAGCGGCGUACGUGUCAGUAACAUGUGCUUACCCUACCUAUAAGACUGGGCUAACUUCGUGAUACUGGUGCUAAUUCUGUAUAAUAUCUUCAUCCGCAUGGUUCAAUAGUUCAAGACGGUUUUGCUGUACUUUCUACCUGUCUCCGCGCGGCAUUAGCUAGUUGGUAGGGUAACGGCUUACCAAGGCGGCCAUGCGUAGCCGACCUGAGAGGGGGAACGGGCACAGUGGAAGUGAGACACGGUCCAGACUCCUAGGGGAGGCAGAAGUAGGGAAGCGUCGGAAAUGGGCGGAAGCCUGACGGAGCAACGCCGCGUGAGUGAUGAAGGGCUUCGGAUCGUAAAACGCUGUUAGUAGGGAAGAACAAAUGUGGAAGUAACUAUGCACGUCGUGACGGUACCUAAACAGAAAGCAACGGCUAACUACGUG
rnacentral:rRNA from 1 species